AUACAGGGUGACAGCCCCGUACACAAAAGCGCAUGUGCUGUGAGCUCGAUGAGUAGGGCGGGACACGUGGUAUCCUGUCUGAAUAUGGGGGGACCAUCCUCCAAGGCUAAAUACUCCUGACUGACCGAUAGUGAACCAGUACCGUGAGGGAAAGGCGAAAAGAACCCCGGCGAGGGGAGUGAAAAAGAACCUGAAACCGUGUACGUACAAGCAGUGGGAGCCCCACCACUAAGCCAGUGGUGAACUCCACAUACGCAUCCUUUGCUGAAGGCAAUGGUUAACGGAGCGAAAGCGACGUUCAACCGCAAAACAAGCAGAGGGGGCUUAGUGGUGGGGUGACUGCGUACCUUUUGUAUAAUGGGUCAGCGACUUAUAUUCUGUAGCAAGGUUAACCGUAUAGGGGAGCCGGAGGGAAACCGAGUCUUAAUUGGGCGUUAAGUUGCAGGGUAUAGACCCGAAACCCGGUGAUCUAGCCAUGGGCAGGUUGAAGGUUGGGUAACACUAACUGGAGGACCGAACCGACUAAUGUUGAAAAAUUAGCGGAUGACCUGUGGCUGGGGGUGAAAGGCCAAUCAAACCGGGAGAUAGCUGGUUCUCCCCGAAAGCUAUUUAGGUAGCGCCUCGUGAAUUCAUCUCCGGGGGUAGAGCACUGUUUCGGCUAGGGGGCCAUCCCGGCUUACCAACCCGAUGCAAACUGCGAAUACCGGAGAAUGUUAUCACGGGAGACACACGGCGGGUGCUAACGUCCGUCGUGAAGAGGGAAACAACCCAGACCGCCAGCUAAGGUCCCAAAGUCAUGGUUAAGUGGGAAACGAUGUGGGAAGGCCCAGACAGCCAGGAUGUUGGCUUAGAAGCAGCCAUCAUUUAAAGAAAGCGUAAUAGCUCACUGGUCGAGUCGGCCUGCGCGGAAGAUGUAACGGGGCUAAACCAU
rnacentral:rRNA from 1 species